UGCUUAACACAUGCAAGUCGGACGAGAAAUCUUCUGCUUGCAGAAGAUAGUAAAGUGGCGAACGGGUGAGUAACGCGUGGGUUAUCUACCUCCGAAUCGGGGAUAACUCGCCGAAAGGCGGGCUAAUACCGGAUAAUAUCUUUUAUGCUUCGGCGUAUUAGAUCAAAAGUGGCCUCUACAUGUAAGCUACUGUUUGGAGAUGAGCCCGCGUGCCAUUAGCUAGUUGGUAGGGUAAUGGCCUACCAAGGCGACGAUGGCUAGCUGGUCUGAGAGGAUGAUCAGCCACACUGGAACUGACACACGGUCCAGACUCCUACGGGAGGCAGCAGUGAGGAAUUUUGCGCAAUGGGGGAAACCCUGACGCAGCAACGCCGCGUGAGUGAUGAAGGCUUUCGGGUCGUAAAGCUCUGUCAAGUGGGAAGAAAAUGUUCGAUAUUAAUACCAUCGUGCACUGACGGUACCACUAAAGGAAGCACCGGCUAACUCCGUGCCAGCAGCCGCGGUAAUACGGGGGGUGCAAGCGUUAUUCGGAAUCAUUGGGCGUAAAGGGCGCGUAGGCGGCCUCUUAAGUCAGAUGCGAAAGCCCGGGGCUCAACCCCGGAAGUGCAUUUGAAACUAAGGGACUUGAGUAUGGGAGAGGGAAGUGGAAUUCCUGGUGUAGAGGUGAAAUUCGUAGAUAUCAGGAGGAACACCGGUGGCGAAGGCGACUUCCUGGACCAAUACUGACGCUGAGGCGCGAAGGCGUGGGGAGCAAACAGGAUUAGAUACCCUGGUAGUCCACGCAGUAAACGGUGAGCACU
rnacentral:rRNA from 1 species